rnacentral:ribozyme from 13 species
AAAAAAGAAAAGAAAAAAUACGAUUUUCACAGCUUCUUCUUCUUCGAUUUCUAGGAGCAGUUCAUCUUCUCCU